rnacentral:rRNA from 1 species
UACGGGGGGGGCAAGCGUUGUUCGGAAUUACUGGGCGUAAAGGGCUCGUAGGCGGUAUGCUAAGUCUGGCGUGAAAGCUCUCGGCUAAACCGGGAGAGGUCGUUGGAUACUGGCAAACUAGAGGAUGGUAGAGGCGUGUGGAAUUCCGGGUGUAGUGGUGAAAUGCGUAGAGAUCCGGAGGAACACCAGUGGCGAAGGCGACACGCUGGGCCAUACCUGACGCUAAAGCGCGACAGCAUGGGGAGCAAACGGG